rfam:Volvox carteri f. nagariensis unplaced genomic scaffold VOLCAscaffold_42, whole genome shotgun sequence.
GACGAGGUGGCCGAGUGGUCUAAGGCGCUAGAUUUAGGUCUACCAGAUAAAAUAUCUGGAAGAAAAUCUCUAGUCCGUAAGGGCGUGGGUUCAAAUCCCAUCCUCGUCA